CUAGGAUAUAACUGCGAGGGGCUUAGUGCACAGCGAAAGCGUACAUCGGUUUGUUAAUGGAAACGGACAUUAAGAUUAUAAAGAAUUACAUGCCUGGAUAACUGAAGCAGGUAGAUGCGCCCUGGGGCUUGCUAGUAUAGUAAAAUGGAUGGUAAGCUACGCAAUGUGUGAGGUGUAAGUCGAUCAAUUAUAAAAUGGUUGAGAAUGGUGCUAGCCCGCAUACCAGGCUAAACUUAUGGUAGGAGGCGGGAUGGUUAUCUCAGUGUGCAUUUUGCGUAGGUAGAGACGUGUAUGGGACAAAAUAAAAGAAAAGAAGAUCAUAAACUUAGGUACAUGAGAGCACAGUUAUAGCAGGAGUCCAACAGGUUAAACAAGGUCUGUAGUGCCAUUUGCAUAGGUGCAUUAUACAUGUUAUCCCAUGAAAAGCAAAGAGAAAGGUCUUGAAAAUUUAAAUGUAAUGAAACACACAGAAGAAAUCAUAAAAUACUUUAAGCCCUGUAAUCAGGCAUGUAGAUGUCGGAGUGAGGGUGGCAUGGUCAGAGAGUCCAGCGUCAGCCUAUGCCCUGGCUUGGGUAGGAAUAGAGGCCGUCCAUGGGUUGUUCGAUGGUGGAGCUGAGCGUGGCUGUCUGCAGGAGCUGUAGCUCAGUUUUGGAGGCGCUGUGAUCUAGAUCCAGGGUAGGAAGCAGUGUCAUGCGCUGUGAGCCAACCGCUUGGGUAAGCCUGUGUAUGAGUCGCUCGGUGAUUUUCACGGUGGGCUGGCUCCGUACCGUGCCUGUAAGUCGGCUGUCCCUCUGCAUACCACUCCUCAUGUGAACUCGGGCAUUGCAGCAGCUUUGAUCCAGCAAGCACUGCUGUAGUGUCGCAGAGAUCCCACCCGUCAGGCUGCCCCAUGCAGGUAUGUAGCAUCCGCCUUGCGUGUGUAAGGGCCUUAGCCAGCUAGGGAGAAAAGAUGACGUUGUUUCCAUUACGAGCUGAUGGAUUCGCAUUUGCCACCAUUUUAGGUUUGAGUAGUGGGGUCUCUGGGCUGCAGGGUGUGGGCCGGGAUCACUCCCACCGGCCCAGGGGUGGGG